rnacentral:rRNA from 1 species
UACGUAGGAUGCGAGCGUUAUCCGGAUUUACUGGGUGUAAAGGGAGCGUAGACGGUUAUGCAAGUCAGAAGUGAAAGCCCAAAGCUCAACUUCGGGACUGCUUUUGAAACUGUGUAACUAGAGUGCAGGAGGGGUAAGCGGAAUUCCUAGUGUAGCGGUGAAAUGCGUAGAUAUUAGGAGGAACACCGGCGGCGAAGGCGGCUUACUGGACUGUAACUGACGUUGAGGCUCGAAAGCGUGGGGAGCAAACAGG